rnacentral:tRNA from 1 species
GCCGUAGUCCAGCCUGGUAGGAUAGUGGCGGUUUCCCCCCGCCGAAUCCCGGGUUCAAAUCCCGGCGGC